rnacentral:lncRNA from 1 species
AAUGCAUGUAGCAUCCCCUGGUUUGAGGCAGUAGGGAAGAGAAUGAAAGCUGAGACUACGGUCUCUGUAAACCCUCAAACAUCCCUUAAGACACUCACAGAAAGAGGUUCUGGUGGUUUGAACUAUCUCCUGCCUCUGCUUCUCUGUUCCAGCUUUGAAAGGAGUAAUUUGAACUGUCUUAAAGGACGCAUGAGACUUCAGGAAGAACUAGGGUCGCAGCAGGCCCAGAACAGAACUAUAAAUGCUGUGACGUGGAUUCAUAACAAGUAACAAGAGGAAUUAAUUCCUCAAGUCAGUGUGUUUUUAUUUAUUAAAGUACAAAGGCAAACUUUCCCACAGGAUGUGAGUCACUUGUUACAAAGAAGAGCUAUCUUUUAUUUAUUUAUUCAUUUUAUUUAUUUAUUUAUUUAUUUAUUUAUUUAUUUAUUUUGAGACAGAGUCUCGCUCUGUCGCCCAGGCUGGAGUGCAGUGGCAUGAUCUUGGCUUACUGCAAGCUCUGCCUCAUGGGUUCACGCCAUUCUCCCACCUCAGCCUCCCGAGUAGCUGGGACUACAGGUGCCCGCCACCAUGCCCGGCUAAUUGUUUUUGUAUUUUUAGUAGAAUUUAAUCUUCAUGACUGUCCUAGGAGGUAACUAUCACAAAGUCUACUGAGUAAAUGAUGAAAAUAUGGCUCAAGGAAGGAAAUAAAACAGUCACAGAAGUGGUCAGUAUUGCAGCCAGAAUCAUAUCCAUCGUGUGUUCCCAAAGACUGUGAUCUAAAGCACAAUGGUAUGUCACUUCUUCCUCAGUCCUGCUCCCAAAACCCAUCAUCUGUGCAGCUGCAAACACCCUCUCCGCAGGGCUUUUCAAAGGGCUAAAGAAUGAUACUGCAGAACAACGAUGACCUCAUAUAUCUGCAACCAUAAAUGUUAAAUCUCAUAGGUUCCUUUACGGCUGAGAAAGAAGAAUAGAUCUAUUGUGAUUAACAUAUAGAAGUGCAUUUCCAGUAAAUAGGGUUUGUUUCCUUCUGGUAUUCCUCAUGGGACAUACAUAAGCUUGUUUGUGUGGGCUUUUGCAAGGCUCUUUCACGUUUGCCAUAAUAGAUUUUAAAAAUAAGGCACUAAUGUGCAAAAUAACUUUUCUAUCUGAUAACCUAGUAGUAGGUGACUAAUGGGUGGGUGGUGCAUACAGUGUGGAGACCCUGGAUAAAGGGAUGAUUCAUAUCCUGGGUGGGACAAAGCAGUACAGCGAGAGCUUUCAUCACACUAUGCAGAACAGCAUGCGAUUGAAAAACGUAUAAAUUAUUUAUUUAUGGAAUUUUCCACUUAAUACUUUUGAACCUCAGUUGACAGUGGGUGACUGAAACCAUAAAAAGUAAAACCGCAGAUAAGGAGGGACAACUGCAAUAAAUUAACAGAAGUUUCAUAGUAAGACUUUCUAUAAUACAAACUAUAUUACUGUUUCUAAGUUAUG